GGUCUACUGGCGCAAUGGUAGCGUAUCAGCCUUCUAUGCAACCGUAUAGGGGCGAGCUGAGGGUUGCGGGUUCGAGCCCCGCGUGGACCU
rnacentral:tRNA from 1 species